GAAGAAGCGUCAACACGACAAUAUGAAAAUAAAUUGGAAAGCAUCCAGUGAAGAGGAUGAUAAAAACUUAUAGGAUCCCUCGACACGGAAAACGGAACUAAGGGCUGUGUAAAAUUUGUCAAAGAUGAAGAGGGAAUACAAGAGAGAGGUUCGAGAGACUCUGCAAUGUCUAAUUUAGGGUGGGUGAUGGAAGUUAUGAUACAUUUUAUAGCAUAAAACAACCGUUCAUAUGGUGCUUGUGUAAAACAAGAUGAAACAGUGUUACUGAGCAUAGCUACCCUUUGCAUUACAAACAAUAUAUUUUUCCCAUGAGGAAAAUCCCACUGUACGUGACUGAGUAUUGCCCGUUGUUGUGGAAUCACACCUUGGAACACCCGUAACAAAUCAAUAUA